rnacentral:rRNA from 1 species
UACAGAGGUCCCAAGCGUUGUUCGGAUUCACUGGGCGUAAAGGGUGCGUAGGUGGCGGGGUAAGUCUGAUGUGAAAGCUUCGAGCUCAACUCGAAAAUGGCAUUGGAUACUAUUCUGCUGGAGGUUUGGAGGGGGGACUGGAAUUCUCGGUGUAGCAGUGAAAUGCGUAGAUAUCGAGAGGAACACCGGUGGCGAAGGCGAGUCCCUGGACAACACCUGACACUGAGGCACGAAAGCUAGGGGAGCAAACAGG